rnacentral:rRNA from 1 species
CCUACGGGUGGCAGCAGUCGGGAAUCAUUCACAAUGGGGGAAACCCUGAUGGUGCGACGCCGCGUGGGGGAAUGAAGGUCUUCGGAUUGUAAACCCCUGUCAUGUGGGAGCAAAUUAAAAAGAUAGUACCACAAGAGGAAGAGACGGCUAACUCUGUGCCAGCAGCCGCGGUAAUACAGAGGUCUCAAGCGUUGUUCGGAAUCACUGGGCGUAAAGCGUGCGUAGGCUGUUUCGUAAGUCGUGUGUGAAAGGCGCGGGCUCAACCCGCGGACGGCACAUGAUACUGCGAGACUAGAGUAAGGGAGGGGGAACCGGAAGUCUCGGUGUAGCAGUGAAAUGCGUAGAUAUCGAGAGGAACACUCGUGGCGAAGGCGGGUUCCUGGACAUUAACUGACGCUGAGGCACGAAGGCCAGGGGAGCGAAAGGGAUUAGAUACCCCUGUAGUC